rnacentral:rRNA from 1 species
UACGGGGGGAGCAAGCGUUGUUCGGAUUUACUGGGCGUAAAGGGCGCGUAGGCGGUCGUGACAAGUCACUUGUGAAAUCUCCGGGCUUAACCCGGAGCGGUCAAGUGAUACUGUCGGACUAGAGUACAGAAGGGGCAACUGGAAUUCUCGGUGUAGCGGUGAAAUGCGUAGAUAUCGGGAGGAACACCAGUGGCGAAGGCGGCGAUCUGGGAAGAUACUGACGCUGAGGUGCGAAAGCGUGGGGAGCAAACAGG